GGAAUGUGAUGAGUGGUCAUAUUUCGCAUUUUUGUUUUCUAAACAGAAAUAGCCUGCGAAAUGGGUGUCCGCUCAAUGCCUGGUUACGAUAAAAUUGGGCACUCUAAUUUAUACCAAUCUGAUCCC
rnacentral:snoRNA from 1 species